GGAGGUAUCAUAGCUCAGUGGUAGAACAGCUGCUUUGCAUACAGAAGAUCUCAAGUUCAAUCCCCUGGCAUCUCCA